AUUGAACGCUGGCGGCAUGCCUUACACAUGCAAGUCGAACGGCAGCACGGGUGCUUGCACCUGGUGGCGAGUGGCGAACGGGUGUGUAAUACAUCGGAACAUGUCCUGGAGUGGGGGAUAGCCCGGCGAAAGCCGGAUUAAUACCGCAUACGAUCUACGGAUGAAAGCGGGGGACCUUCGGGCCUCGCGCUAUAGGGUUGGCCGAUGGCUGAUUAGCUAGUUGGUGGGGUAAAGGCCUACCAAGGCGACGAUCAGUAGCUGGUCUGAGAGGACGACCAGCCACACUGGGACUGAGACACGGCCCAGACUCCUACGGGAGGCAGCAGUGGGGAAUUUUGGACAAUGGGCGAAAGCCUGAUCCAGCAAUGCUGCGUGUGUGAAGAAGGCCUUCGGGUUGUAAAGCACUUUUGUCCGGAAAGAAAUCCUUGGCCCUAAUACGGUCGGGGGAUGACGGUACCGGAAGAAUAGGCACCGGCUAACUACGUG
rnacentral:rRNA from 1 species